GGCCGGGUCGACUAACCGGAAGGUCACCGCCCUUUCAAGGCGGCAGGUGCGGGUUCGAACCCCGUCCCGGCUACCA
rnacentral:tRNA from 1 species